CUAAGCACCACGUCCAACCUUUCCUUAAACACCCCCGGGGAUGGUGACUCCACCACCUCCCUGGGCAACCCGUUCCAAUGCCUGACUGCUCUUUCUGAGAAGAAAUUAUUAGUAUUAUUAUUACUACUACUACUACUACUACUAAUAAUAAUAAUAAUAAUAAAAGUGUGAAUGAAAACCCUUGCAGACGUAAGCCGGCUUAUGUUUUCUGUAUUAGGAAAAAUUAAAAAAAAAAUAAAAUAAAAUAAAGAAGCUCUUUGGAAGCUCUGUCCGACUCAGUUACAGCCGACCACAAGGCAGACUCAUCUCUCACCAGGCUCCACGAGGCAGAGCCGAGCUCCCAGCCCGCCCCAGGUGCCUGCCUCCACGUUCGCAUAUUUAAAUCACAGCAAGCAGCUGCCCUGCCCGCUGGGAGCUGCCGGCACGGGGCGGGCAGGGAGGGGGGGGAACUCUGCCCUGUACUUCUGAAGGGCAAAGCAGCGCCGGAUCCUGUCGCCGCCGUGUCGCCCUAUCGCCGACACCCCCCGACAGCAGCACGCACGCCAGCCCCAGCCUCGUGGGGUCCCCCCACCGCCCCCGUCGGAGCCCUGCCCCGGUGCCGCCGCCGGGGCCGUGCCGAGCGCCGCUCCCCGGCGCGGCGGGGCCGGGAUUGGCUGCGGAGGCCGGGGGGGGGCCGGGCACGGCCGCGGGUGGGUGCGCGGAGGAGGCUGCGUGGGGCAGCACAGCGAGAGCCCACGGCGGCGGCAGGAGGGAGCUGCAGUCGGGGGGCUCUGUCCACGGACGGUCCAGAGCCUAAGGAAUCCUUGACUUGGAAGUUGAACAAAACCAGACAAAGGAAGAAACUCUUCCCUCAUCUGGCUCAUGGCUACUUUGUCCAAGUUUAGCAUUUUCUUCUGGCCUCCUUCGCUUGCCCCUGUCCCUCUUGACAGCCUCACUCUUGUCAAAAGCACAAAGGGUGUCCGAGAGCAUGACAACAAGCUGAAAUCAUGAACUGUGCCACGGCAAGGAAGCAGAAAAUGAAAGCUCCUGGCAAAGCAGAGCAUGCUGUUGGCAGAAAUAUCCUGCAUCAAGUCACCGCUCCAGGAUGUCGCUCCGGGACGUGGCAAAGGUCCGUGUUGCACACCCGUCUCUCCCCAGCAAUGAGUUUGUCACCAGGGAUGGGAGGAGAAAGUGGGGAUGAAGUGGCAAUGAGCCCUGGGUCAGGCCUCGCCCUGCAGGCCAGCUGGCUCCUCCCAGCCACUCAGAGGUCCUGUCCCACCAGGUCUGUUUGACCAGGGCCCAUCCUGACAUCCGGAGACGUUCUUUGCCUGGCUGGUGAGGACUGUGGCAGCUUUAUCUGGUGUGCUUGGCAAACAUGCUGUAAACUAAAUCCCUGCCAAGCUUCUCUUUAAGGCCAUUCUUUGCACACUGGAGUACCUUUUGUCCUUCUAGCUUGCUCUGUCGCACACCCUCCUCAGCCAAUGGGGAGGAAUAGCUUCUAAAACACUGCCUGAGUUUUUUUCAGAAGUGCAGUUCUAAGAAACAGGUAGUCAAAAAUUAGAGAGGGUUUGGCGUUAUUGUUGCAGUGCUGCAGAACUGUACAAUUCACAUGUAUAUGGGCUCCUCUACUGUACUUGCAACAUAUUUCUGCCUCUACUAAAGAGGGUUUUGUUCCAGUGCUUGGCAGCUGGUGGCUCAAUACCUUGUGUUUUAUGCACCAUGAGUGAGCAGUGGGCUUACAGGAUCACAGUAGGAGACUGUAUCCUAGGCUAUGCAAGGCCACAUUUCCCUAGUGUGGGUCUGGAGUAGAGCUGUACUCAGGAUGUGCAGGCCAGCAUCCCUGCACUGUGACAUCUUGCAAAAGGAUGUGCUGGGGCAUAGGUGCAACCAUGCCAGGUAGAUGUCCUCAUGGGAAAAGAUCCAGUGUAGACAGCACCGCAUUCAAUAUCAUCAAUGGAAUGCUUCACUUGAACUGGCCAAGUGAAAUGUGUUUCAAAACCUGAUAAAAAGUACUUUGGAUCAUCAGCGUAGGGAACGGUGCCUUCUGCAAUAAUUCAGGAACCUUGCUGGCUAUGCCCCAGAUACUUAAUGCAAUCUGUCGCUACUUAAUAAAGAAUGUCUGAGAUCAAAGCUUUUUUUUUUUUUUUUUUUUUUUUGAUAUUACAAACCACACAAAAAAAAAUAAUAAAUAGAAACCAGUGUAGGCCCGUUGCCCUUUCAGUCACACCAAGGCCUAUCUGACAGCUGCGCAGCAAGGACUCCUGUGGGGUGUCCUGCAGAGGCUAGAUGUGUGUUGCCACAGGCAUGGUGUCCUUCUUGCCGUGCCAGACUUCACCUGGCUGUGAGGAGUCCAGAAAAAGGAGCUUUCAUUCUCUGCAUUCCUCUCUGCUUGCACACCAACAGCUCUCAAGGUGCCUCUUCUGGCCCAAAACAGCUGCCAGCGUGGCUGGGUGGAAGCAGAGCCCAAAUGAGCACUUGAGCUGCAUUUCUAAAGUGUUUGUUGCUCUCGGUAAAUAAACCUGUAGGAGAGGAAAGGGCAAGAGUGAACAGCAAUACUCCUAGAAAAUAUCCGACGUGGGAGGCCCAGUUUCCCGUUUGAACUUACACAAACGUGGCACGCUGACAGAGUCGCCCCUGAAGCGCUCAUCAAGUGCUGCAGUUGACAGCAGUUAAAUUCACAACAAGAUGGCCGGGUUGCAUUUACAUAUGUUUUAAAUGUGCUUGUCAGUCACUGGAUAGUUAGUUCUCAAUUACAGCAACAGUUUGAGAAUGCAAGGCAUUUGUCUUCGUUUUCUAGUGUCACAUACUGAGGUCUGCAUGUCUGAAGUUGUCUAGAUAAGCAGAUAACACUUCCCGAUACAAUAAUUUUUGAGCCUGGUUUAAACUUAGGUGAAAACCAAAUAGUUUGCAUGAGUGAGCUUCUGCAAAUGUAGAAAGAAGCUAUCACACAGGGAUAUCCAUGUUAAAUAAUGAAAUUUCUGUGUGCUUCUGUUACAUUAUUAUUUAAGGAUGAUUCUCAGAAAACUACAAGCCAAGAUGCUGCUAAUAUGAUUUAUGCACUGAAAGUGCAAUUUAUAAAGGGACACAGACUGGGUUUAUUAGUCAUGAACGUAACCUGCUGUAUCUGUUCUUUUCAUGCUCACUUUGCAAAGUAUUUAGAUGCUUUUGUCAGAGGUUGAUACCUGCUUGCCUUUGAAAAUAUGAAUUGACUGUAGAUGGUUUAGAGCCCAGGAAAAAUCUUUUGCAUUACAAGUUGGUGCCCCACCACAAUACAAGAGAAUUAUUUUGUUUGGUGUCCGAGGAAGAUUUUUAGUUUCAUUUUCAAACUUUUGUUUGUUUUCACUUUUUCAGAUGAGCGGCUCUCAACUUUGAAGUUAAGAUUAUAAUGCUAGGAAAAAAAAUAGAAGAUGCAUUGGUAGUGUGCUUUCAACGGUAGAAAUGUUCAAUUGGCUUGAAGAUACUGAACAUCAGUCUUUAUCAAAAUCAAUGAAUGUUUCCUGGCAGAGAUUAGUGAAACUAGAACUGUCCCCAUUCUGAAUAUUUUUUUAUUUCCCCAUUUUUAUCUUUAUGGACAGUUUAAUGUGGUUGUGAUGACUUUCCACAUUUAUAUGUGGCAAAAUUUCCCUUGCUUUGUUCAAGCUUUGAUAGGAACCCUGAGCCCUCUUAGGUAUCAUUUAUUCCAGAGAAGAUGUGGACCUAUCUAAGAUCUUCCCUUGGUAAGCUAUGGAUUCCCUCUAUUUAAAAAUAUCUUCUGGAUAAGCUAAUAACCUAUUCUUCCCAGUAUGCCAAGAAAGGCAGUAGAUGACAAUCAUUCUUUCUCCGUACCUCUUGUGAAUGAAUGAUUUGGUGCUUAUUCCAAAGAUUAGUACUUCAUUCAGCUCCUCUUAUUGUUACAUGGGAUGGCUUUUUCUUCCAUUUGUGGGGUGUUUCACUCAUAUCCAUCAAAAUGAGAAAAAAUUGCUACUGUUAGUCACUACCUGUCUUUUCCCAAAAGAAGUCCUCAAGAUGUUUUUACUACUUUGCUAUAAAAAACAAGAUUUGGAAGGGCUGUUUUUUUCAACUUUAGUGAUAAAGCAAGGUAAAGCAGGCCACUGAGGUAAAUCAGAAGUUUGGAAAUGGGUUUCUAUUCUUUUGGGAAACCUAAAACUGGGGCUGAGGGCAAAGACAAAUCAUAAAUUGAAUGAUUUUGUCAAAUGGAGUGCAAGUAUGCAGUGCUAACUGCUAUUUACCCCCAAGUGUUUCAACGUGCUCCAACCAUGUGACAGGACAAUAUCCGCAGCUGUAACAUAACAUGUGAAAGGUACAAAGUCUGAUUUUUAUGGCCUAAACAUUAAUAUUUGCAAUAAAGACAUCAGGUAGAGACUGUAAUCCUUGCAAUAUAUUGUAAAUAUUACUGUACAGAGAUCUAUAUGUAACAAAUACAGAUUGUUCUAUUAUACAUGUAUUACUUUUCAAAGGGAGAUAGCCCUCGUGUUUUGUGAAUUUGGAGAAACAUUACAACAAUGGGCAUUAAGCAGAAACUUCCCUGGGAGGAGGUUGACCUGUCAUUGCCUCAUAUGAAGUUUCUCACAUCUUCUUUUGAAUCUUGUGAAAUAGAGUACUGGUCAGACUUGGUAUGCAAGUUCCUACAUUUCUGUGUUUAUAGCCAUAUAAAUGUACUGUGUACUAUUGAGUGCAUACAAAUAAAAAUACCACACUGAGAGUUAGUUUUGUUGUUUUGUUUUAUUUUUUUUUUUUUUCUUGAAAAAUAUCUUUUUAUUGUUCUGUUGCCAUUAACAUACCAUUAUUUUAAAGCUAGUAUUCCACUACCCAAUUGCUUGCUCUGAGUGAGGCUACAGAUGUGUUGGCCAUACCAAGAUCCCUGUAUGAGAACCAAGGGUUCUUGGUAAGUUUGAAAUACAUGAAGCCGGGGUUGUUUCACAGUAAUUUGAUAUUUUCAUUCUAGAAUAUGGCUAAAAGAUGCACUGUUUGUUUCUAAAGGGCAGUAUUUUUUUUCCAGACUUUGAUAUUAUAUUUGAUUUUCCUCACUGUCAAAAACUACUAUGUGCUGCAGGCAAUACCACAUCCAUCACAAGCAAGCAUGGCCAGUGCCCAAGCAGUGAGCCUGAAGUUCUGCUUAGAAAAAAACCAUAUCUCCAGAACCUUAACAGGUUUUCCUUUGACUUCAUUCCAUAGGAAGAAUUCGAUGUAUGUGAUGUUAAUUCCCUGUGCAUGCAUUCUGUGAAGAAAGCAGGAGAAAUAAUGAUUGUAUACAGUAAGCUUUUACCAGAGACCAGUAUACUCCAGCUGUGUAAUUAUCAUUUUGGCAUGGCCUAACCUGCUCAGGUGGAAGUGUUUCAAUGACAAGUGUUUGAAUGCAACUUGAGGUAGAGCUGACUGAUGCUCACUGUGUAGAUUAAGCUCUUCCACCAAAAAAAAAAAGCAACAUUUAUCGUCAUUGACAUAGAGCCUUCCCAUCAUAAAAAGUCUAGAAAAGGGAGACAAUUUGUGCCUCCCCCUUUCUGUGUGGGUUAACCUCCCUUAGCAAGCCUUUGCCAGUGUUGGUGCCUUUGGGAGGAAGGAGUCAUCAUAGCCUGUGAAUAUCAUAGAAAUCACAGAAUGGUUUGGGUUGAAAGAGGCUUUAAGGAUCACCCAGUUCCAACCUCUCU
ensembl:lncRNA